CAACUUAAAAAAAUUAUUACACAGAAAAACUUAAAGAAAUAGAACAAAAAGAACAAAAAUCCCCCCAAUUAUUUGUUGACACUGUCAAACUCUGUCCCUUCAUCCAUGUUAUCAACUAAUAUGAAUUUGAUUACGAGUUUAGAAUUUGAUCCAUGAUUUGAUAUGCCCAUUCGUCUAAAUAGAUACUUUCUCAGAAAAAAGGGAAGUUAAGCUUAGAACUUGAAAUGUAUUUAGGUAUUGGAAUGGAAGAACGGAAUGAAUAAAAAUUGAUAAAACGAAACUUGAUCCAGAAAUGAACCAGCAUUAUGAAACAGUGUGACCUGAUUUCUACAAAGCAAAGUUAAGUCUUAACAAGUUGGUUGUUUUAAGAAAGAUCGUAGCCCAUUAUCUAUAUUGAGAUAGGAACCAACGAUAUAGGAUGAUCGUCACACUUCAGAAAGAGUUGAGAAGGGAAGUGAUAGGAUCUAUUAAUGAACAGCGCAUGAAGGUAAGUUCAUGAUAAGUUUGGUUUUAUUCCUGAAAAGAAGAAAGUAUAAAAUCAGUUUAAGUUUCAAAGUUGAUUGAUU
rnacentral:lncRNA from 1 species